rnacentral:lncRNA from 1 species
GAUCAAGGUCACUUAGGACCCAAUCCAACCCGACCCAUUUACACCCCUAUGCCCUGUAGGGUAUAAUAUACCAUUGUUUGUUUUUUUUAUUUAGUGGGGUGGGGAUCGGUAGAAGCGAAUGCUUUGGUCUGACUGUAAUUUCGGUACGUGAGUGGGUAUUUUCAUUACAGAAUUUGCUAGCAUUCGGAUAAAGGCAGGGUCGAGGACGCCUUGCAUCUAGCGGACAAAAGGCUUUUGAGUGGAUGAAGUAACUGAUUUUUUAGCAUGUCAUCUGAUUAUUGGAUGAAAUGGUUGGACCAUCUAACUAAUAUCCUACAGCGGUGGCACA